ensembl:lncRNA
GUCUAGUUCCUCUCUUUGUGCUGGGGUGAGUUUUUCGUAAUUUACCUGAACUGGAGGAUUGUCAGAGACCCCGACUGCUUGAACAUGUGCCACUCGUCUAACAUGAAUCGCCCCUUCCUCUUCUUCAAACUCCAGCAUAUUUUCAGUUAACACCUCCCGGGGUUUAGACAACACUGCCACUCUGCAUCUUGGGUUUAGUCUGAUGGUCCGCUCACUCGAAUUCAUUACUCGUACAGGAACUUUACCACCAUCAGUUUUUGUUAGCACAUUGGCCACUAAGAGCCCCUUGGGUAGACUCACACCAGUGGUGUGCUCAAUUAAUACUUGGCACUUCACUUUAGGUGGCACUCUGCAACGACCUUCAAACACUUUCUCACUUAGUGGAGGAAUAGUGAUGGUCUGCUUUCCACCAACUUUGACAAACCCAAUCUUGCCGUCAGGACUCAGGGGUUCAGUCUUCUCGACACAUGCUAACACCCUUCUUAUCUUUGCUUCUGCGGGUUGCCUGUAUUUGUUGGCUGUCUUUACGCUCUCUCCUGUGACGAACAACGAUUUAAACUCACUGAUAAUAUUCAUUCCAAUGAUUCCAGAAAGUCCUCUUAUCUCCUCAGAUUCUGGGCUGGUAUCUGUCAGCACAAAGAUGCACUUCCCUGGUAGAACCUUUCCCAUGCACUCCACGUCAGCUUGUAAACAUCCUAGGACCGGAAUGUCGAGCCCAUUAGCUGCAGUGAGUUUGACCCAGUGAGCAGAUGACAAUUUCAGCUUUUGCUCUCCGAAGUGCUUCCUAAAGUGUGAUUCUGUAAUAGUGGACACUUCUGAGCCUGUAUCCAGCAAGCAGUUUGUCUUGACACCAGCUAUUCUAACUUCAAUAGUCAAACAAUCUCCAAAUGCACCAUUUUUCAAUGUCUCCGUCACUUCGUCGGACCAUUCAGCUACAUGACUUCUUAUCAUAGAUGGCCCAGAGCUGGCUUGUGUCGUGUUUGCCGGAACGUUCCCUAUGUUUGUUUCAACCAUCCCUGUAGAACGUCGAGACUGAUCAGACACCAUAGCUGCCUCAGCACCUUGUGGACAGCGCCUGCUAGUGUGCCCAGGCUCGCCACACGAAUAACAGAUGUAUCGGCCAUCGCUGUCCUUCAGGGGUUGUCUUUUUGGGAGGCUCUGUUGAAGUCGUACUCUGCUGUUACCAUGUACGGCCUGAUAGAGUUCUUCUUGACGGGCAGCAAUUUUUUGUAUGGCUUCAUGCAUUUUUCCAAAGUUAACGUAGAGGAAGCUUGUUCUGCGUCAGCAUUAACUACUCUAACACGGGGACUGGGUUUUGGAUUGUUUGGCGUUUGUGUCUCUUCUUCUUCAGCCCAGGUGAUUGCUGCUUGCAUUACCCGAACAAAAGUCAAACCCGUGUCCUCUUUAACUCGUCUUUUCAUUUCACGCCUCAGGAAAUCAUCUCGAAGGCCCAGGACAAGCUGCUCUUUUAACACACUUUCGGCAUCGGGAACUCGGUUUGGUUCUCUGCGCUGAACUUUGCUCAGUCUCUCCUGUAAAUCGUAUGCAUAUGAACGUAUCGUCUCUCCUUGCAUCUGCUUUCGUUCAUAGAAGGCAUUUAGUCUGGUUCCGAUUGGCACUUUGUCUCCAUAUGUCUCCAAAAGUACUUUAAAGAUGCUUUCAGCAGAAUCUUCUUUGCCACCCAGCAUGAACCUUACAGUCGCUUUAGCUUCAUCUUUGAGAUGCUGUUUCACAAACUCCACGUGGUCUUCAGCUGGUACCCUCAUUACCUGGAAGGCAGAUUUCAUUGAGGCAACCCAUUCCUCAAUGCUUAUUUCACCUGGUUUUGCAGGGCAGCCACUGAAUUCUGGAAGUUUUCGGUCUCGUGGUAUAUAGAGGACAGAUGGGGUUGCUUGCAAAGUAGCUUGGUGCUCAAUGACUGUUCUUGCUAGUGACAAGGCUUCCCUUUGUUCAGACCUGGCUUGCUCGAGCGCUCCUGCCUGUUCUGCAAACCUUCUUUGCAUUUCUGCCAUCUGUUUUCUCAGAUCUUCAAGCUCUGCCAUUCUUCAGCUUGUAGGCCUGGGACUCGUGACACACAAACACAAAAAAAAGUUAAACACACUAAUUCUAUCCUGUUCGUGACGCCAAAUGUAACGGGUGCGUUAGGGCCCGCUUAGUAGGGGAAAUUAAUGUUACCUCGGAAGACUUUAGGAGGAAAGGAUCUUGGUACCCCCACCUCAGUGCUUUGAGUCUCAAGGUAUAGGUUAUGUAUACGUGUUACCUUACUCUGUUGUAUAAUAUACUAAAGGGACCAGAGAGUGUGGCUUCAGUUAAGUCUACAAAUACUUGUAUUAAUUUGGUGGCCGCCUGAAGUGUAAAUAUGUGAGGCAAUUUAACAAUACCAAUUCACAUUCCCACCACCCCAGUACCUAACAGAGCAAGUGAGACGCCCCUACUCCAAGGUAAGUUCAACAAUGAUAGUACUCUUGAGAUUUACUUUAACAUUCAAUCAGAUUUAAUUAUCUCCUUUUAAAAUGUUUUUUCUUUUGCAGAGCAG